AUGCACGCUGGCGGCGUGCCUAAUACCUGCAAGUCGAGCGCACAGACGAGGAGCUUGCUCCUCUGACGUUAGCGGCGGACGGGUGAGUAACACGUGGAUAACCUACCUAUAAGACUGGGAUAACUUCGGGAAACCGGAGCUAAUACCGGAUAAUAUAUUGAACCGCAUGGUUCAAUAGUGAAAGACGGUUUUGCUGUCACUUAUAGAUGGAUCCGCGCCGCAUUAGCUAGUUGGUAAGGUAACGGCUUACCAAGGCAACGAUGCGUAGCCGACCUGAGAGGGUGAUCGGCCACACUGGAACUGAGACACGGUCCAGACUCCUACGGGAGGCAGCAGUAGGGAAUCUUCCGCAAUGGGCGAAAGCCUGACGGAGCAACGCCGCGUGAGUGAUGAAGGUCUUCGGAUCGUAAAACUCUGUUAUUAGGGAAGAACAAAUGUGUAAGUAACUAUGCACGUCUUGACGGUACCUAAUCAGAAAGCCACGGCUAACUACGUG
rnacentral:rRNA from 1 species